CUAAUAUACCUAAAAUAACUCAAUUAACGUAUCACCAAUAAAUCUAUCUAAAUCAAAACAACCAUUUCAGCUUUCAGCCUCGAAAAACGUUUUAUUUAUUAUACAGGUAAUACAAUUUCAGCGAUGGCUUGACGGGGCCACGGGGCGAUAAGGCGACGGGGCAAUACCAGUGCGCUCUAUCUGAAAAGUUGUUACGUAGACUCUUGUCGAGUGUACCCGUAGAUCAGUCGCCUACCAACUGUGAGAGCAAGCACACAUUUUAUGUUUUAAGCUGGUCGAGUAAAUAAAGUGCGACGCAGUUUUUCUUUCAUAACAGUGUAAGAACCUCAAGGAUUAAUAAUAUUUUUGGAUAAAUAGUGAACGAAGGGUAUAAAAUGCGAACUUCCAAGCGAAAAACUGAAAGGGGAAAGACGCCUGUGGAUGUUUUUGAACAGGCUGCCCAUGAGGUUAUAAACAACGGAAAAUCUUUCAGAACAGCGGCUGCUGAUUUUAACAUUAAUUAUUCGACCUUAAGACAUUUUUGCAAAAGAAAACAGCAGGCAGAUGAAGAAGGUUUAGAUAUACCGCUUCAUGUUGGAUACAAACGACCCAGUCAGGUUUUGCCUGACGACAUGGAGGAAGAGUUGGCAUCUUAUUUGAUCGAAGAGUCGAAAUUAUACUUUGGCCUAUCAACCCGCGAAGUUUGCAGAUUGGCCUAUGAAUAUGCCGUUCACAAUAAUAUAGAAGUAAGAACAUAUUGGAAAGAUAAUCAUAUGGCGUCAACAGAUUGGCUGUCGGCUUUCCUUAAACGUCAUCCCACAUUAUCUCUAAGGUAUCCUGAAGCAACAAGCCUUAGUCGUGCAAUGACCUUUAAUAAACACAAUGUCGCAAAGUUUUUUGACCUUUUGCAGUUUUGGACCGCGAUACAUUUGAGCCCCAAGAUAUAUAUAAUGUGGAUGAAAUGGGGAUGACAACCGUACCAAAGCCGGACAGGGUAAUUGCGAAACUUGGGUCGAAACAAGUAGGAUUUAUGACGUCGGCCGAAAGAGGGACUCUGGUCACAUUUUGCUUUGCAGUUAACGCAAAUGGAAACUCAAUUCCUCCAAUGUUUUUGUUCCUUAGAAAAACUACAGGGAGUAUUUUGUUGAUAAUGGACCGCCUGGAUGUAUUGGAGCAGCCAAUCCUUCUGGCUGGAUAACAGAAACUGGCUGGAUGAUAGAGCCACAAAGGAAAAACCUGUCUUGCUGCUACCAUUUAAAAAAAAAAGAAGUACAGUUAGGUUCUUACUUGACGUGUUUUUUCAUUUUUCUCAAGAGCGCUAGCCAUAGAUAUACAUAUGAUAAAUGAGACUGGCUUCAAAUAUAUAUUGUAAUGUAAAUUAUUAUGGAUUUAAUUCUUAAAACUAGUAUGGAUUUAAUAAAUAACAGUUCUGAUUUU